rnacentral:rRNA from 1 species
CCUACGAGAGGCAGCAGUGGGGAAUAUUGCGCAAUGGACGAAAGCCUGACGCAGCGACGCCGCGUGAGGGAUGAAGGUCUUCUGAUCGUAAACCUCUGUCAGCAGGGAAGAACGGUCACUGUGCUAAUCAGCAGUGAAUUGACUGUACCUGCACAGGAAGCACCGGCUAACUCCCUGCACGCAGCCGCGGUAAUACGGAGGGUGCGAGCGGUAAUCGGAAUUACUGGGCGUAAAGCGCUCGUAGGCGGUAUGUCAAGUCAAGGGUGAAAUCCCCGCGCUCAACGUGGGAACUGCCUUUGAAACUGGCAAACUGGAGUGUGGGAGAGGAUAGUGGAAUUCCAGGUGUAGGAGUGAAAUCCGUAGAUAUCGGGAGGAACAUCAGUGGCGAAGGCGACUAUCUGGCACAUAACUGACGCUGAGGAGCGAAAGCGUGGGUAGCAAACAGGAUUAGAUACCCUAGUAGUC